CCUACGGGAGGCAGCAGUAGGGAAUCUUCGGCAAUGGGGGCAACCCUGACCGAGCAACGCCGCGUGAGUGAAGAAGGUUUUCGGAUCGUAAAACUCUGUUGUUAGAGAAGAACGUUAAGUAGAGUGGAAAAUUACUUAAGUGACGGUAUCUAACCAGAAAGGGACGGCUAACUACGUGCCAGCAGCCGCGGUAAUACGUAGGUCCCAAGCGUUGUCCGGAUUUAUUGGGCGUAAAGCGAGCGCAGGUGGUUUCUUAAGUCUGAUGUAAAAGGCAGUGGCUCAACCAUUGUGUGCAUUGGAAACUGGGAGACUUGAGUGCAGGAGAGGAGAGUGGAAUUCCAUGUGUAGCGGUGAAAUGCGUAGAUAUAUGGAGGAACACCGGAGGCGAAAGCGGCUCUCUGGCCUGUAACUGACACUGAGGCUCGAAAGCGUGGGGAGCAAACAGGAUUAGAUACCCUGGUAGUCCACGCCGUAAACGAUGAGUGCUAGCUGUAGGGAGCUAUAAGUUCUCUGUAGCGCAGCUAACGCAUUAAGCACUCCGCCUGGGGAGUACGACCGCAAGGUUGAAACUCAAAGGAAUGA
rnacentral:rRNA from 1 species